rnacentral:rRNA from 1 species
UACGGGGGGGGGCAAGCGUUGUUCGGAAUUAUUGGGCGUAAAGAGCUCGUAGGCGGUCUGUCGCGUCUGCUGUGAAAACUCAGGGCUUAACCCUGAGCUUGCAGUGGGUACGGGCAGACUAGAGUGCGGUAGGGGAGACUGGAAUUCCUGGUGUAGCGGUGAAAUGCGCAGAUAUCAGGAGGAACACCGGUGGCGAAGGCAGCUCGCUGGAACGGUACUGACGCUGAGGCGCGAAAGCGUGGGGAGCGAACGG